rnacentral:rRNA from 2 species
CCUUGAAAUACCACCCUUUAAUGGCUGGUGUUCUAACGUAGACCCGUGAUCCGGGUUGCGGACAGUGUCUGGUGGGUAGUUUGACUGGGGCGGUCUCCUCCCAAAGAGUAACGGAGGAGCACGAAGGUUGGCUAAUCCUGGUCGGACAUCAGGAGGUUAGUGCAAUGGCAUAAGCCAGCUUGACUGCGAGCGUGACGGCGCGAGCAGGUGCGAAAGCAGGUCAUAGUGAUCCGGUGGUUCUGAAUGGAAGGGCCAUCGCUCAACGGAUAAAAGGUACUCCGGGGAUAACAGGCUGAUACCGCCCAAGAGUUCAUAUCGACGGCGGUGUUUGGCACCUCGAUGUCGGCUCAUCACAUCCUGGGGCUGAAGUAGGUCCCAAGGGUAUGGCUGUUCGCCAUUUAAAGUGGUACGCGAGCUGGGUUUAGAACGUCGUGAGACAGUUCGGUCCCUAUCUGCCGUGGGCGCUGGAGAAUUGAGGGGGGCUGCUCCUAGUACGAGAGGACCGGAGUGGACGCAUCACUGGUGUUCGGGUUGUCAUGCCAAUGGCACUGCCCGGUAGCUAAAUGCGGAAGAGAUAAGUGCUGAAAGCAUCUAAGCACGAAACUUGCCCCGAGAUGAGUUCUCCCUGAGACUUUAAGUCUCCUGAAGGAACGUUGAAGACGACGACGUUGAUAGGUCGGGUGUGUAAGCGCAGCGAUGCGUUGAGCUAACCGAUACUAAUGAACCGUGAGGCUUAACCUU